CCUACCACAGGCCCCUGUCCCAGGGUGUCGGAGAUUCAAGAUUACCUCUGUAGCAGUUGCUCAUCAACAGGCUCAACACCAGAUCAUUGAAAUUAUUGGGAGUACCAGUGGAAUCUGCAGCAUGUCUGGGUAUGAAGUGAGUACAGGUGCUGAAGAUUACUGGGAAUUUUAAUGCUGUCUGUUGACUUUGCAAUGAGAACUGUUUCAUGCUGUUGAGAUGUCUAUGUUCAUGGAAAAGAAUAGACCUGCUCAUAUCCGCAGAGAAGAACUAGAUGGACAAACUCCCUUCAGCUGCUGCAUGGGGACAGCAAAGUCUUAAGGUUGGCUUACAGCCUACCCUU